CCAGCUCCUCUGAGAUGCUGACAGGAAGCAGGGAGGGAUCCCGUCCAUAGCCAGAGCUUACAAACCUUCCGCUGCGGCUUAAUUCUGGCCCAAGCAGAUAUAUUUGGUUACACGUUAGGGAUUUGUUUUCACUCAACACUAAAUUUUAUUAAGAAUUGAAUGAUGAAGUUCAAUGAUGACACGGAGUUAGGGAAACAAAUAUUGCCUGGCUUUUACCUUGCUGGGAAUCUGCUACACGAUUCUGAAAACUCUCAAACUAGACAUGCUUUAUUCCCUAUGAGUAUUUUCCUAACUACAUUCUAAAAGUCAAUGACACUGUCAUUUUAUGUACAUGUACUAACCCAACUUUGCCAAUUUUUAAAAUCACGUGGUUAAGUAAAAUUCACUUUAUUGUAAAAUAGAUUGCACUGGCACUGCUGGUGUUUUCCUCUGCCAUUCUCUCUCCAGCACUGCAGCCCUUUAUUGUCCACACACACAAUCAAACUAAGAGAAGAAACCAGGAGGACUGUUGGCCGCCAGUUGAGCCAGCUUUCCCACUCAGAGCUGUGGGUUUCUACGGAACCCUCACAUCAAGAGAGAGGAGGGAACUGCUGCCGAGUAGCCUUCCGGUGCACAGUUGAUCUUGAAUAACUGAAACCUCAGAAAGCAAAACCACAGAUGAGAGGGAGGAGCUGCGCUUAUGGUGUUCAAAGCUCACCAGUCCCUCCGGCUUCUCAGUUCAGAGGUCAUCGGUAACUGGAAUGAGAACGGCUAGUCCAAACGAUGAGAGUUACUACAAAAGACCUUCAAGUGUCGCACGGCUCGCCUCAUACUAGUGAACAAUGAGGAGUUGAGAGCCCUACUGCCUCAUCCCACUUCCUACACCAAGGGGAGGAGCCCUUGUGGUAAUGCUUCAAUCAUCAUUAAAGCAGAUUCCUAGUACACACUGGGGUGGCCACAGAACACGCUACCUAAAGCACCACCAAUGAGCUACUGACCCAAAGACUCUGAAGGACGUGAGGACAGGGUGGUAUCCAAAGGAAGAAGCCCAAAGCAUAAACUCACAGUACUAGGGCUACUAAAAUGUCAGCGUGAAAGGAUGUUUGCUAUAUAGGCACUCUAAAUUCAAUUAUCCCAUUUCCACAGCACUUACAAUCCUGGGUGACUCAUUCAACCUUGCA
rnacentral:lncRNA from 1 species